AUUGAACGCUGGCGGCAGGCCUAACACAUGCAAGUCGAGCGGGGUGAUGGUGCUUGCACUAUCACUUAGCGGCGGACGGGUGAGUAAUGCUUAGGAAUCUGCCUAUUAAUGGGGGACAACAUCUCGAAAGGGAUGCUAAUACCGCAUACGUCCUACGGGAGAAAGCAGGGGAUCACUUGUGACCUUGCGCUAAUAGAUGAGCCUAAGUCGGAUUAGCUAGUUGGUGGGGUAAAGGCCUACCAAGGCGACGAUCUGUAGCGGGUCUGAGAGGAUGAUCCGCCACACUGGGACUGAGACACGGCCCAGACUCCUACGGGAGGCAGCAGUGGGGAAUAUUGGACAAUGGGGGGAACCCUGAUCCAGCCAUGCCGCUUGUGUGAAGAAGGCCUUAUGGUUGUAAAGCACUUUAAGCGAGGAGGAGGCUCUUUUGGUUAAUACCCAAGAUGAGUGGACGUUACUCGCAGAAUAAGCACCGGCUAACUCUGUGCCAGCCGCCGCGGUAA
rnacentral:rRNA from 1 species